AGGAUGAAGAUAACUGAUAAACUAUUAUAUACCGCUUAACAUUGAAGAACUUAAGAAUGUGCAAUGAGAGUUAAACUUCGAAUCACGCAUGGCAAUCAGUGCCUACUCAUGCCAUUUCACUUCAAAGGGACGGUGUCUAGAAACAUUCUUUUUACAAGGCAUUGAUAUAUGUAAAGAAUGUAUCAAUGAAUAGAUGAUGGUGGUGUUUCAGUUACAAAAGCAGAGAAAGAAAUUUGUUACUGAAGGCAAACUUGUACACCUGGGCAAAGCACUUGCAUUCUUUUAAGUUCUGUCAAAGGUAGUACUUCUCAAACUUAAAUAUGCAUGCAAAUCACCUGAGGAAUCACAGAAGAAUUCAGAUUCUCAUGUGAAGGUCUAGAGUGGGGCUUGACCCUCUGCAUAAUAAGCUUCCAAGUGAUGCUGAUACAGCUUGUCCACUUUGAAUAACAAGGAUUUAGUUGAAAGAAACCCUGAAUCAUGGACAUACU
rnacentral:lncRNA from 10 species